AUUGAACGCUGGCGGCAGGCCUAACACAUGCAAGUCGAACGGUAGCACAGAGGAGCUUGCUCCUUGGGUGACGAGUGGCGGACGGGUGAGUAAUGUCUGGGAAACUGCCCGAUGGAGGGGGAUAACUACUGGAAACGGUAGCUAAUACCGCAUAACGUCGCAAGACCAAAGAGGGGGACCUUCGGGCCUCUUGCCGUCGGAUGUGCCCAGAUGGGAUUAGCUAGUAGGUGGGGUAACGGCUCACCUAGGCGACGAUCCCUAGCUGGUCUGAGAGGAUGACCAGCCACACUGGAACUGAGACACGGUCCAGACUCCUACGGGAGGCAGCAGUGGGGAAUAUUGCACAAUGGGCGCAAGCCUGAUGCAACCAUGCCGCGUGUAUGAAGAAGGCCUUCGGGUUGUAAAGUACUUUCAGCGAGGAGGAAGGCGUUGUGGUUAAUAACCGCAACGAUUGACGUUACUCGCAGAAGAAGCACCGGCUAACUCCGUGCCAGCCGCCGCG
rnacentral:rRNA from 1 species